GGUUGGGAAAGUUCUAGCAUAUGCCUAUAAUGGGAUUCUAUUGUGCCAUAAAAAGUGACAAACAAGAUGACCACACACACACAAGCAAUCUGUAAAGACUUAUAUGAAUUGAUGCAAAGUGAAGAACCAGGAGAACAUUGUACACAGUAACAGCGAUAAGGAUUUUCACACAGGUUAAAAAAAUCUCCUGGAAGGAUUUUUGAAAGAGAACUUGAAUAGUUUGCUUUUUGUAUGACAAGGGUUACCAAAAAAAGAUAAAUGGCAUCUUCAGCUGCAUUAUUAAAGUCUUUAUUAAACUUUUAGAAAAAAAGAACUUCUGUAAAAUGGGAGAAAAAGCAAAAAGAAAGAAAGAAAGAGGGACUUCUGGUCAAGAUGGUGGCUUAGAGGCAGUGAAAGUUCAGACCUCUGAAAACCCUUCCUUACCAGUCACAAACUGAAUGCUCCCAGGACACCAAAAUUCAAACUGAACAACAGGACAGACCUGGGGAACCCUCCUCCUGGACCUGGAUCAAAAGGGUCCAGCUCUCCAAACAGCAGUUUUGCCUCCAUGGAUCGUUGCUGGUUGUCACAAUGAUUCUAAGACAACGUCUUGGUGCAGGCUAAUGGCAAAAAGUGGAACUAUGAAGGUGAUGGCAAAAUGUCAACAAAUGAAGAGCUUGAGCCAUAUUAAUCCAGCUAAAUAUGAUUUUGACCAUCUUUUGCUCUUUCGAAUCUGCUGGCAUGCAAAAGCUGAUUGAUAGAUUUGGUUGGUUGAUGACAUAUUGUUUCUUGACCUGAAUGCCCCCUACUGAGGUCCAGAGUGAGUUCAAGUUUCUAGGUAAUGCCUUUAAAUAUUAGAAUGGGGAAAAGUCUCAUGGAAUUCUAUAAUGUCACUGACCACACAC
rnacentral:lncRNA from 1 species